GUGUCAGCCGCCGCGGUAAUACGGAGGGUGCGAGCGUUGUCCGGAAUCACUGGGCGUAAAGGGCGCGUAGGCGGCCGCUUAAGCGUGUGGUGAAAGCUCAGCGCUCAACGCUGAGUCGGCCAUGCGAACUGGGCGGCUUGAGCACGGUAGAGGCCAAUGGAAUUCCGGGUGUAGCGGUGGAAUGCGUAGAGAUCCGGAAGAACACCGGUGGCGAAGGCGGUUGGCUGGGCCGUGGCUGACGCUGAGGCGCGACAGCGUGGGGAGCAAACAGGAUUAGAAACCCUCGUAGUCC
rnacentral:rRNA from 1 species